CCUUAUGUACAUGCCUAGAGUGUUAAUGUACUAUAUCCCAUCAUAACUUUGCAUUUAAGUGUGAUGGGGCUAGAGUAAUACUUGGAUGGGUGACCUCUAGAGAAGUCCUAGUGUUUUUACAUGC
rnacentral:rRNA from 1 species